rnacentral:rRNA from 1 species
UAGAGUUUGAUCAUGGCUCAGAGUGAACGCUGGUGGCAGGCCUAACACAUGCAAGUCGAGCGGAAACGAGUUGUUUGAACCUUCGGGGGACGACAACGGCGUCGAGCGGCGGACGGGUGAGUAAUGCCUGGGAAAUUGCCCUGAUGUGGGGGAUAACCAUUGGAAACGAUGGCUAAUACCGCAUGAUAGCUUCGGCUCAAAGAGGGGGACCUUCGGGCCUCUCGCGUCAGGAUAUGCCCAGGUGGGAUUAGCUAGUUGGUGAGGUAAGGGCUCACCAAGGCGACGAUCCCUAGCUGGUCUGAGAGGAUGAUCAGCCACACUGGAACUGAGACACGGCCCAGACUCCUACGGGAGGCAGCAGUGGGGAAUAUUGCACAAUGGGCGCAAGCCUGAUGCAGCCAUGCCGCGUGUAUGAAGAAGGCCUUCGGGUUGUAAAGUACUUUCAGCAAUGAGGAAGAUGGUGUGUUUAAUACGCGCAUCAUUUGACGUUAGCUGCAGAAGAAGCACCGGCUAACUCCGUGCCAGCAGCCGCGGUAAUACGGAGGGUGCGAGCGUUAAUCGGAAUUACUGGGCGUAAAGCGCAUGCAGGUGGUUUGUUAAGUCAGAUGUGAAAGCCCGGGGCUCAACCUCGGAAUAGCAUUUGAAACUGGCAGACUAGAGUACUGUAGAGGGGGGUAGAAUUUCA